AUCAACGUGGCGCAGUGGAAGCGUGCUGGGCCCAUAACCCAGAGGUCGGUGGAUUGAAACCAUUCGGUGCCA